ACACCAUCGCAUCUCAUGUUCC
rnacentral:miRNA from 1 species